GACGAACGCUGGCGGCGUGCCUAAUACAUGCAAGUAGAACGCACAGUUUAUACCGUAGCUUGCUACACCAUAGACUGUGAGUUGCGAACGGGUGAGUAACGCGUAGGUAACCUGCCUGGUAGCGGGGGAUAACUAUUGGAAACGAUAGCUAAUACCGCAUAAUAUUAAUUAUUGCAUGAUAAUUAAUUGAAAGGUGCAAUUGCACCACUACCAGAUGGACCUGCGUUGUAUUAGCUAGUAGGUGAGGUAACGGCUCACCUGGGCGACGAUACAUAGCCGACCUGAGAGGGUGAUCGGCCACACUGGGACUGAGACACGGCCCAGACUCCUACGGGAGGCAGCAGUAGGGAAUCUUCGGCAAUGGACGAAAGUCUGACCGAGCAACGCCGCGGGAGUGAAGAAGGUUUUCGGAUCGUAAAGCUCUGUUGUAAGAGAAGAACGGGUGUGAGAGUGGAAAGUUCACACUGUGACGGUAUCUUACCAGAAAGGGACGGCUAACUACGUG
rnacentral:rRNA from 1 species